GCACUCAAUAAUCUCCCAUCCAGCUUUGCUUAGUAUGCUACGGUUCGGUACACUGUGGACUCAAAAUAUCUUUCCAAGUACAGCAACCUUAUGAUGCAGUGCUUAAUGUUCCUCGAUGAUGUAGCCAAUUCUGGCCGCUGAUGGGGACUGCCUGCGUGAUCUGCUCACCAGCUCUGAAAAAAGCUUUGGAACAAGUCCUUGGGUCUGUCCCAGGCAUAAGGAUAUUUCAGUCUGAGAAAGUUACUGCUUUUGUUGACUUCUGCUGUCCCUGAGGGCUUUGCAACCCUGGAUCCUUGCCUGAGAGGUUUAUCAGGAAGCGCAAAGGCUGAAGCCUAUGCGUUGGCAAAGGGGCUCCUGCUUGGCCAUUCUUGCACUGGAACAUGUGUAUUCUCCCCAGAAACUUUGAGGCGUCUUUGAUUUGUACUGGUGCAGGAACAGAAGAGCUUUCUACCCAGGUCCCAUGAGGAACUCUUGGAGGGAACAGCAACUCUUUGGAAGAAUUCAUAUCACUGAGCUUGGUCCUGCAAGGCAGGCCCUGCCACUGCUGACCGGGUCCAUUCUGAGCAACGAUGUAUUAGCAAAGCAGCGCCCACAUGGAUCCGCUGGGAUUUCUGCUCCAUUCCUACCCAUCCAGCUUUAUUUGCCUCCCUUAAUCCAGGGAAAACACUAACAUGAAACAACCUUCACUUCUUAUCUGAGAGCCAUAUUCCUUGAAAGCUUCCACUGCUGGGGCAGGGUGAUCUGCUCAAGCCAAGACAUAUACCGUCCACUUUUAGGCUCUGUCCUUCGUAUGGUGUCUGUGAUACUCCUAUACAAACCCAUUUCUUGUAAAAUAACAAAAAGCAGUGGGCAGAGUCAUGGGCAGGGUGCUAUUUUAGUUUCAGUAAAUGGUUUUUAUCAGAAGUAGGCCUUUCCUUUCUGCUUCUAUAGAUUGUAAAGAGGUUUCUGCCUCUCUAACUCUGAGAGUGGGUCUCAGAAACGUAUUUCACCCUUAUGCUACAAAAUAAACCUGCUGAACGGGAUUGCUGUUGGCUUGAGCGUAAGCAAGUGCUCUUCUUGUAAACUGGCACAAACACAAAUGUGCUUAUGGUUAUGGAUUUUAUACAGUUUUCAUAGCGUAAUUUUGGCAUUAGUCUCCAG
ensembl:lncRNA